rnacentral:rRNA from 1 species
GACGAACGCUGGCGGCAGGCCUAACACAUGCAAGUCGAACGAGUGGCGGACGGGUGAGUAAUGUCUGGGAAACUGCGUGAUGGAGGGGGAUAACUAGUGGAAACGGUAGCUACUACCGCAUACCAUCAGAUGUGCCCAGAUGGGAUUAGCGAGUUGGUGGGGUAACGGCUCACCAAGGCGACGAUCCCUAGCUGGUCUGAGAGGAUGACCAGCCACACUGGAACUGAGACACGGUCCAGACUCCUACGGGAGGCAGCAGUGGGGAAUAUUGCACAAUGGGCGCAAGCCUGACGCAGCCAUGCCGCGUGUAUGAAGAAGGCCUUCGGGUCGUAAAGUACUGUCAGCGGGGAGGCGUUACCCGCAGAAGAAGCACCGACUAACUCCGUGCCAGCAGCCGCGGUAAUUC